rnacentral:rRNA from 1 species
UGGGGAAUAUUGCGCAAUGGGGGCAACCCUGACGCAGCAACGCCGCGUGCGGGACGACGGCCUUCGGGUUGUAAACCGCUUUCAGCAGGGAAGAUAGUGACGGUACCUGCACAAGAAGCCCCGGCUAACUACGUGCCAGCAGCCGCGGUAAUACGUAGGGGGCGAGCGUUAUCCGGAUUCAUUGGGCGUAAAGCGCGCGCAGGCGGCUCUUCAAGCGGAACCUCUAACCCCGGGGCUCAACCUCGGGCCGGGUUCCGAACUGGAGGGCUCGAGUGCGGUAGAGGCAGGCGGAAUUCCCGGUGUAGCGGUGGAAUGCGCAGAUAUCGGGAAGAACACCGAUGGCGAAGGCAGCCUGCUGGGCCGGCACUGACGCUGAGGCGUGAAAGCUAGGGGAGCGAACAGG